UUUAUGGAGAGUUUGAUCCUGGCUCAGGAUGAACGCUGGCGGCGUGCCUAAUACAUGCAAGUCGAGCGAACAGACGAGGUGCUUGCACCUCUGACGUUAGCGGCGGACGGGUGAGUAACACGUGGGUAACCUACCUAUAAGACUGGGAUAACUCCGGGAAACCGGGGCUAAUACCGGAUAACAUAUUGAACCGCAUGGUUCAAUAGUGAAAGACGGUUUUGCUGUCACUUAUAGAUGGACCCGCGCCGUAUUAGCUAGUUGGUGAGGUAACGGCUCACCAAGGCGACGAUACGUAGCCGACCUGAGAGGGUGAUCGGCCACACUGGAACUGAGACACGGUCCAGACUCCUACGGGAGGCAGCAGUAGGGAAUCUUCCGCAAUGGGCGAAAGCCUGACGGAGCAACGCCGCGUGAGUGAUGAAGGUCUUCGGAUCGUAAAGCUCUGUUAUUAGGGAAGAACAAACGUGUAAGUAACUGUGCACGUCUUGACGGUACCUAAUCAGAAAGCCACGGCUAACUACGUGCCAGCAGCCGCGGUAAUACGUAGGUGGCAAGCGUUAUCCGGAAUUAUUGGGCGUAAAGCGCGCGUAGGCGGUUUUUUAAGUCUGAUGUGAAAGCCCACGGCUCAACCGUGGAGGGUCAUUGGAAACUGGAAAACUUGAGUGCAGAAGAGGAAAGUGGAAUUCCAUGUGUAGCGGUGAAAUGCGCAGAGAUAUGGAGGAACACCAGUGGCGAAGGCGGCUUUCUGGUCUGCAACUGACGCUGAUGUGCGAAAGCGUGGGGAUCAAACAGGAUUAGAUACCCUGGUAGUCCACGCCGUAAACGAUGAGUGCUAAGUGUUAGGGGG
rnacentral:ncRNA from 1 species